ensembl:lncRNA
UGGUGAUAUGCUAUACAUGAUUGUAGAUUAAGCUUUUCUAUAGCAGAGGAGACAAAUACACAGAUGUUGCUUCAGCUCCCUGAUUUCCUGCAGAUGGCAAUUAAUUUUCAUCGUGCUAUAUUGCAUUUUCUCGCAUAGCCUCUCGUAGAGCAUUUCUCCUUAUGUCAGCCACUCUACAAACUCUUGGCAUCAUCCAUAAUCUCAAAACCAAUUUCAGUAUGGUGCAUGCUGACCUUCGUCAACUGUUAUUAAGUUAACGCUACCUCUGCUCCCAGCGCAUAUGGAAUUUUUGGACCAGAAUUCCGAGUCUGUUGCAGGAACAGUAAAAUGUCAUCCUGACAGAAUGAAAACCCUCGCUGUGACGUAGAGGUCACCUUCAGAGGUCUAUUCUUUGAAAAGGCGAGGAGGGGGGUUCCUGUCUCUGUUCGUGGCCUGAUGGAUGACUGCGGGCUGGUGAUCAGUCAGGAAAAGCGAGCUCCAUCACCGCCUGUCUGUCAGCGAGGGGGAUCGGGGUGUCGAGGGAGGUGGCUGCAGGGUGCACAGGCCGACCUCCUGUUUCUGGCUGCUCACGGUCUAAAUACUACGACCAACGUGUAUCACAAAGGCCACGAGAGAAGAAAGGAGAGCGCAGGGCUCCACUCCACUGAAAAUAGCCUCAAGCCACGGAGGGCUUCGGAGCGAAUUACCCUGCAGCACCCUACCAACGCCACUUUCCUCCAGCGUGGGUCCAGGCUCAUAUGCAGUUGGCUCUGGAGGAGUGUCAUUAUACUGGAAAGUAAUGAGAAGAGAACGACUGCAGCCCUCAGUGGAGCACAUCAAAGUAGACAGAACGCUGACAGACGGGCUGACAAGGGUUCCGCUUUUUGGGGGGCCUUGGUACAACUCUGUGUCUUCAAGUCUG